GAGUAACACGUGGGUGACCUGCCUCGCACUUCGGGAUAAGCCUGGGAAACUAGGUCUAAUACCGGAUAUGACCACUGAUCGCAUGGUUGGUGGUGGAAAGAUUUAUCGGUGCGAGAUGGGCCCGCGGCCUAUCAGCUUGUUGGUGGGGUAACGGCCUACCAAGGCGACGACGGGUAGCCGACCUGAGAGGGUGACCGGCCACACUGGGACUGAGACACGGCCCAGACUCCUACGGGAGGCAGCAGUGGGGAAUAUUGCACAAUGGGCGAAAGCCUGAUGCAGCGACGCCGCGUGGAGGAUGACGGCCUUCGGGUUGUAAACUCCUUUCGACAGGGACGAAGCGCAAGUGACGGUACCUGUAGAAGAAGCACCGGCCAACUACGUGCCAGCAGCCGCGGUAAUACGUAGGGUGCGAGCGUUGUCCGGAAUUACUGGGCGUAAAGAGCUUGUAGGCGGUUUGUCGCGUCUUCUGUGAAAACUUGGGGCUCAACCUUAAGCUUGCAGGGGAUACGGGCAGACUAGAGUACUUCAG
rnacentral:rRNA from 1 species